rnacentral:rRNA from 1 species
CCUACGGGUGGCAGCAGUGAGGAAUAUUGGUCAAUGGCCGGAAGGCUGAACCAGCCAUGCCGCGUGAAGGUCAGUGCCCUAUGGGCGUUAAACUUCUUUUGUGCGGGAGCAAUAAUGGUCACGUGUGGCCAGACGAGAGUACCGUACGAAUAAGCAUCGGCUAUCUCCGUGCCAGCAGCGGCGGUAAUACGUGGGAUGCAAGCGUUAGCCGGAUUUAUUGGGGUUAAAGGGUGCGUAGGCUGUGAGGUAAGUCAGCGGUGAAAUGCCCCCGCUCACAGGGGUGAAGUGCCAUUGAUACUGCCUUGCUGGAAUGCGGAUGCCGUGGGAGGAAUGUGUGGUGUAGCGGUGAAAUGCAUAGAUAUCACACAGAACACCGAUUGCGAAGGCAUCUCACGAAUCCGCGAUUGACGCGGAUGCACGAAAGCGUGGGUAUCAAACAGGAUUAGAUACCCCAGUAGUC